UACGAAGGGGGCUAGCGUUGCUCGGAAUCACUGGGCGUAAAGCGCACGUAGGCGGACUCUUAAGUCGGGGGUGAAAUCCUGGAGCUCAACUCCAGAACUGCCUUCGGUACUGGCGAUCUCGAGUUCGGGAGAGGUGAGUGGAACUGCGAGUGUAGAGGUGAAAUUCGUAGAUAUUCGCAAGAACACCAGUGGCGAAGGCGGCUCACUGGCCCGAUACUGACGCUGAGGUGCGAAAGCGUGGGGAGCAAACAGG
rnacentral:rRNA from 1 species